UGGGGAAUAUUGCACAAUGGGCGCAAGCCUGAUGCAGCGACGCCGCGUGGGGGAUGACGGCCUUCGGGUUGUAAACUCCUUUCGCUAGGGACGAAGCUUUUUGUGACGGUACCUAGAUAAGAAGCACCGUCUAACUACGUGCCAGCAGCCGCGGUAAUACGUAGGGUGCGAGCGUUGUCCGGAAUUACUGGGCGUAAAGGGCUCGUAGGUGGUUUGUCGCGUCGUCUGUGAAAUUCCGGGGCUUAACUCCGGGCGUGCAGGCGAUACGGGCAUAACUUGAGUACUGUAGGGGUAACUGGAAUUCCUGGUGUAGCGGUGAAAUGCGCAGAUAUCAGGAGGAACACCGAUGGCGAAGGCAGGUUACUGGGCAGUUACUGACGCUGAGGAGCGAAAGCAUGGGUAGCGAACAGG
rnacentral:rRNA from 1 species